rnacentral:rRNA from 1 species
CCUACGGGGGGCAGCAGUGGGGAAUAUUGGACAAUGGGCGAAAGCCUGAUCCAGCCAUGCCGCGUGUGUGAAGAAGGCCUUCGGGUUGUAAAGCACUUUCAGUGGGGAAGAAAGCCUUGGGGCUAAUACCCUCGAGGAAGGACAUCACCCACAGAAGAAGCACCGGCUAACUCCGUGCCAGCAGCCGCGGUAAUACGGAGGGUGCGAGCGUUAAUCGGAAUUACUGGGCGUAAAGCGCGCGUAGGCGGUCUGAUAAGCCGGUUGUGAAAGCCCCGGGCUCAACCUGGGAACGGCAUCCGGAACUGUCAGGCUAGAGUGCAGGAGAGGAAGGUAGAAUUCCCGGUGUAGCGGUGAAAUGCGUAGAGAUCGGGAGGAAUACCAGUGGCGAAGGCGGCCUUCUGGACUGACACUGACGCUGAGGUGCGAAAGCGUGGGUAGCAAACAGGAUUAGAUACCCCGGUAGUCC